rnacentral:rRNA from 1 species
GAGAGAAUUGCUAGCUUGCUAAUAAUUCUCUAGUGGCGCACGGGUGAGUAACACGUGAGUAACCUGCCCCCGAGAGCGGGAUAGCCCUGGGAAACUGGGAUUAAUACCGCAUAGUAUCGAAAGAUUAAAGCAGCAAUGCGCUUGGGGAUGGGCUCGCGGCCUAUUAGUUAGUUGGUGAGGUAACGGCUCACCAAGGCGAUGACGGGUAGCCGGUCUGAGAGGAUGUCCGGCCACACUGGAACUGAGACACGGUCCAGACACCUACGGGUGGCAGCAGUCGAGAAUCAUUCACAAUGGGGGAAACCCUGAUGGUGCGACGCCGCGUGGGGGAAUGAAGGUCUUCGGAUUGUAAACCCCUGUCAUGUGGGAGCAAAUUAAAAAGAUAGUACCACAAGAGGAAGAGACGGCUAACUCUGUGCCAGCAGCCGCGGUAAUACAGAGGUCUCAAGCGUUGUUCGGAAUCACUGGGCGUAAAGCGUGCGUAGGCUGUUUCGUAAGUCGUGUGUGAAAGGCGCGGGCUCAACCCGCGGACGGCACAUGAUACUGCGAGACUAGAGUAAUGGAGGGGGAACCGGAAUUCUCGGUGUAGCAGUGAAAUGCGUAGAUAUCGAGAGGAACACUCGUGGCGAAGGCGGGUUCCUGGACAUUAACUGACGCUGAGGCACGAAGGCCAGGGGAGCGAAAGGGAUUAGAUACCCCUGUAGUCCUGGCAGUAAACGGUGCACGCUUGGUGUGCGGGGAAUCGACCCCCUGCGUGCCGGAGCUAACGCGUUAAGCGUGCCGCCUGGGGAGUACGGUCGCAAGAUUAAAACUCAAAGAAAUUGACGGGGACCCGCACAAGCGGUGGAGUAUGUGGCUUAAUUCGAUGCAACGCGAAGAACCUUACCUGGGCUUGACAUGUAAUGAACAACAUGUGAAAGCAUGCGACUCUUCGGAGGCGUUACACAGGUGCUGCAUGGCCGUCGUCAGCUCGUGUCGUGAGAUGUUUGGUUAAGUCCAGCAACGAGCGCAACCCCUGUUGCCAGUUACCAGCACGUGAAGGUGGGGACUCUGGCGAGACUGCCCAGAUCAACUGGGAGGAAGGUGGGGACGACGUCAGGUCAGUAUGGCCCUUAUGCCCAGGGCUGCACACGUACUACAAUGCCCAGUACAGAGGGGGCCGAAGCCGCGAGGCGGAGGAAAUCCUAAAAACUGGGCCCAGUUCGGACUGUAGGCUGCAACCCGCCUACACGAAGCCGGAAUCGCUAGUAAUGGCGCAUCAGCUACGGCGCCGUGAAUACGUUCCCGGGUCUUGUACACACCGCCCGUCACAUCAUGGAAGCCGGUCGCACCCGAAGUAUCUGAAGCCAACCGCAA